GACGAACGCUGGCGGCGUGCUUAACACAUGCAAGUCGAACGGAAAGGCCCUGCUUUUGUGGGGUGCUCGAGUGGCGAACGGGUGAGAAACACGUGAGUAACCUGCCCUUGACUUUGGGAUAACUUCAGGAAACUGGGGCUAAUACCGGAUAGGAGCUCCUGCUGCAUGGUGGGGGUUGGAAAGUUUCGGCGGUUGGGGAUGGACUCGCGGCUUAUCAGCUUGUUGGUGGGGUAGUGGCUUACCAAGGCUUUGACGGGUAGCCGGCCUGAGAGGGUGACCGGCCACAUUGGGACUGAGAGACGGCGCAGACUCCUACGGGAGGCAGCAGUGGGGAAUAUUGCACAAUGGGCGGAAGCCUGAUGCAGCAACGCCGCGUGCGGGAUGACGGCCUUCGGGUUGUAAACCGCUUUCGCCUGUGACGAAGCGUGAGUGACGGUAAUGGGUAAAGAAGCACCGGCUAACUACGUG
rnacentral:rRNA from 1 species